rnacentral:rRNA from 1 species
GUAGGUGGCAAGCGUUGUCCGGAAUUAUUGGGCGUAAAGCGCGCGCAGGCGGUUCUUUAAGUCUGAUGUGAAACGCCCACGGCUCAACCGUGGAGGGUCAUUGGAAACUGGAGAACUUGAGUACAGAAGAGGAAAGCGGAAUUCCACGUGUAGCGGUGAAAUGCGUAGAGAUGUGGAGGAACACCAGUGGCGAAGGCGGCUUUCUGGUCUGUAACUGACGCUGAGGCGCGAAAGCGUGGGGAGCAAACAGGGAUUAGAUACCCUGGUAGUCCACGCCGUAAACGAUGAGUGCUAAGUGUAGGGGGUUUCCGCCCCCUUAGUGCUGCAGCUAACGCAUUAAGCACUCCGCCUGGGGAGUACGCCGCAAGGCUG